UCCACGCAGUGGGCCAGAUAACCGCGCGCCCCGCCUCUGCCGACCCGCGCCCCGCUCCCCGGAGGACAAACAGUGAUUCCCGCCCCGCGGCCUCCACAGGCCGCCCCGAGGAUCCCGCUGCACGCCGCGGGGUGCACCUGAGUCCUCACCAGAUAGACGUGAACAGGUGUAACCACGACGGAUGCGGAGUGACACAGAGAGCAGAGCGCAGACGGAUCGGAACAACGCAGCAGAAGGUCACACACCACUGACAGACAAGCCCUGCUAAACAAACCAUACAUAGACUCGCCAGACAUGUUCUCCAGAUUGUUUUAAACUUUAUUGAAACAGUGCCACAAAGAUGAAGAGCUCCUCUACUGUCACCAACACAGUGUUCUGCUUCAUGAAAGACCCUGAGCAAUGGAAAGCUCAUUAUGACAGCGAUUAUGAAUGAAUGAAGCUACUAUAACCAUCAGGCAUGAAUCUGGAUCCCUAUGCAAGCUUCCCAAACAGCUUGCAAUUGAUGACAAGCAUACGCCACCAUGCCCAGCUUUUUCUGUUGAGAUGGAGUCUCGUGGACCUUUCUGCCUCAGCUGGCCAGGGACAGUGACCUACCAAGUAGCUACAAAAGUGGCUGGGUGCACCACCAUGCCAAGGUAUGGGUUGAAAAAGGAUCUUGUGAUCUUUUCUAUCCAGGCUGCCCUCAAAUCACCAUCCUCCCAUUUUCAGCCUCCUAAAUGGCUACUGGUUACUGGAACCUAGCUGAGUUUCCCUCCUCCCCCCAACUCCUCCAUUUAUUUGACAUUUUCUUGGGUCAAGUGUAUGCCUGAAUAUUUUUCACACUUUUAAAUCAGGUUUCUUAUUUUCUUAUUGUUGACUUUUAAGUUUCUUUUGUAUAACACUUAUCAACUAUGUCUUUUGCAAAUAUUUUCUUCUGGCCUGUGGUUUGUGCUAUCCUCUGAAUAUUAUCUUUUAUAUAGCAGAGGUUCUUAAUUUUGUUGAAAUCUAACUAAUUUUUUUUUCUUCUGUGGGCCAAGCCUUUGGAGUUCUAGCCAAUCUAAGGCUGUCAAGAUUUUUUUACGUUAUAAAGCUUAAUAUAUAU